GCACUCCAAAACCUUAACCCCCGACCACUCUUCUACCUUUCCUCCCCUCCCGCCGCCGCCGCCGCCGCCCGUACGAGCGAGCAUGCCCAGCGCGUUCCACUCCCUCCGCCCCUCGCUCAUCAAGCGGAAGCACAAGCACAAAUCCACGCGCCGCGGCGGGAAGCGCCCCAAGAAGACCGGCGAGUCGACGAGCCCCGCCGCCGGAGGCGAAGACGCCUCCUUUGACCUGAAGGGCUCCGCCUCCGCGUCCACCGCGGCUGGGCGCGGCGGAGGAGGCAGCCUCGUCCAGCCGCUCGGGAACCUCCUCCUCGCGGCCGCCGGGCGCACCAACCUCCGGGACGCGAGCCUCGGCGGGCUUCGCCAGCUCCCCGACGACCUCCUCCUCGACGUCCUCGGCCUCCUGCCCGCCCGCGACCUCGCCGCGCUCUCCGCGGCCUCCAAGGCGCUCUACGUCAUCUCCUCCCACGAUCCGCUCUGGCGGGCCAUCGUCCUGGACGAGCUCGGCGGCGACUUCGCCUUCGCCGGCUCCUGGCGCGCCACCUACAUCGCCGCCGUGUCUGGCCGCCCCCAUCGCCCCCCGCGGGCCCUUGAGAUCAGCGGCUUCUACUCGGACUACCUCUUCCAGAGCUGGCUGUGCGCCAACAUGGAGAUGCGGGCCGAGUGGCUCGAGCGAGACACCAUUGACCGCCGCCGCGGCUUAUCGGUGGAGAAAUUCAUCGCAGAGCACGAGGAGCCGAACUGGCCGGUGCUGCUUGAGGGGUGCCUUGAUUCCUGGCCGGCGCUGCAGAAAUGGACGAGGGAGUAUCUGCUGGAAGUCUCAGCCGGCAAGGAGUUCGCCGUCGGUCCGGUGAGCAUGCCACUGGACAGGUACUUCCAGUACACCGACAAUGCGGAGGAGGAGAGGCCAUUGUACCUCUUCGACGCGAAAUUCGCCGACAAGGUUCCGGAGAUGGGGAGGGACUAUGAGGUGCCGGCGUACUUCCAGGAGGACCUGUUCAAGGUGCUCGGGGAGGAGAGGCCGGAUUACAGGUGGGUCAUCAUCGGUCCGGCUGGAUCAGGGUCAUCGUUCCAUGUAGAUCCUAACUCGACAUCGGCGUGGAAUGCUGUGAUCAAAGGGGCCAAGAAGUGGGUGAUGUUCCCGCCGGAGGUGCCGCCACCAGGGGUGCACCCAAGUUCGGAUGGGGCAGAGGUCACUAGCCCUGUGUCUAUCAUGGAGUGGUUCAUGAACUUCUACGGAGCCUGUAGGACCUGGGAGAAGAGGCCGAUUGAGUGUGUGUGCCGGGCUGGGGAGAUUGUGUUUGUGCCUAAUGGGUGGUGGCACCUGGUUAUCAAUCUUGAGGAGUCCAUUGCCAUCACUCAGAACUAUGUGAGCAGGAGGAACCUGUUGAAUGUUAUUGACUUUCUCAAGAGGCCCAAUGCAAGCGAGCUUGUGUCAGGGACCAAGGACAGGGUGAACCUGCACGACAAGUUCCGGAAGGCCAUUGACACAGCUUACCCUGGGACGAUUAGUCAGCUUGAAGUUGAAGCUCAGCAGAAGGCUGCUGCUCGGAAGAAGAAAGUCGCAUUCUGGGAUUCUGCUGUUGACGCUAACACUGGAGGAUUCAAGUUCUCCUUUUGAUUUUCUUGCAGCAGCUAGGUCUGUGGACUUAACAUUUUAUCUUCUCCUGUUUACAUGAGCAAUCACAUUCGAUUUGCUUUGAGAACCUGGGUUCAUGGGCCUUCGCAUUCAUCUGCUUGCAGUCAAGCAGAUUAUUUUGAUUGUACAAGGCUAUGAGCAUCCUAGAACUUGGAAGUUGGUCCCGGUUGUUAUUGUAAGGUUUGUACCAUGUAUUACAUCAUGCAAAUUUUGAUCUUUGAUCUUCAAAAAGUUGGGCUGAAAAUUGUUUGCAUAUUGCCAAGUUGACAGUGCACUAAGGUUAUAGCACAUUCAUGCUCAAGUAUGCGUCGGUACUUAUGUUCAUGCAUUGUAGAUCACUCGUACCGAACAUUACGGAUCACUCGUACCUUGAUAUCUCUGCGAACAUCAAUGUAAUAGUAGC
rnacentral:rRNA from 1 species